GUUUCCGUAGUUGAACCUAAAAAGCGUAACAAGGUCUCACGUAGGGGAACCUGCGGAGGG
rnacentral:rRNA from 1 species